CACUUUUUGUACCAAUUCAUCAAAAUCCGGUUCUUUUGGAUCCAAAAACAACAAAAGAUCUUGAACCCACUUUUCCAAUACCUGCAAACUAUCACUGGAAUCCCCUCCCUUGACCUNCUGGAAUCCCCUCCCUUAAGCUGCAACCUAUCCUUAAUUAAUUGUACAAUCACACUAGUCCCUUUCCCCAAAGUCGCCUUUUUCUUCUUCUUCUCACCCUUCUUUACCACCUUCUCAUCCCUCCCGUUCUCUCCAAUUUCUUCAACACCCUUUGCACUCAUCAAUUCUCCACCUUCAAGUGCAACAAAAGCUGUUAUCCCCUCCCAGGCAACAAUACUCCACACGGUGCCCAAUAAUGCAUUCACUUCAUGCACAAAUUUCCAAGUGUCUUCCUCAAAGUCCGAAUCCAAUACCAGCCUAUAAGCAUUUCUUAACACAUUCUCAUUGGGGCAUUUCUUCUCAAACAUGCUUAGCAAACCAGUUUUCAGACUUUCAUUACCCACUGCAUCUAAAUUAGCUUUGGCCCGACAAAAGCUACAUUCUGAAGAGCUGCAGACAAUGCUAACACCGCCGGGAUGGCAUCACCCUCAUAGACUUCCUCACGGGAAUUCAAUGAGACACGCGUCACAGAAUGCACUGAUUUCACCACCUCCCUCAAUCUCCCAUUAAUUUUGGGAAUCUUAGAAAAGGAUUCACUCUGAACCUUACCAACAAGCUUAGACCCAUUAAGCAACAACUUCAUGUCUCCAGCAACACCAAUCCCCUCCUUGUNCAACACCAAUCCCCUCCUUGCCAACGAAGCCAUCUCCAGUGUCCAGGGAACUAAACGCGGCCACGUCAGCCUUCGCCGCCUCACACGACAAAGCAGCCACUGCAUCCACAACUGAAGCCAAAGCCGUGGAUUCAUGGUCCAAAAUCGAACAAACGCCGUAGACAUGAGCAGAUGAUUUCUCUAUUACGAGGCGUUCCUCUUCAGUCACUUCAAUGGAGUUAAAACUCCCAUUCUCAAAUUUCGAAUUAAGGGUUU
rnacentral:misc_RNA from 1 species